rnacentral:rRNA from 1 species
AUGGCAAGGCAGCUUGAAGGUGGUCACGCCCAUCUCGCGGAGAUGGUGCAAGCUGUCAAGAAUCACGGUGCUGGGGCACUGCACUUCGCCUCCGGGUGCAAGAUGGCGGAAGUGUGCGAGUACCUGUUGAGGUUGUCCAGGUGGACGUGGAUGCUGUUGACCAAGCAGGUAGAACACCUCUGGUUUGGGCAAUCACUGCUGAUAAAAGUGGGGCAUUGUGAAAUAGUAGAACUCUUGCUCUCUAGGGGUGCUUAUGUCGAUCUAUUUUAUAUGGAUCAUGGGACACCAUUGCAUGGUAAACAUAAGCAGGAUGCAACCGUGAAGAUUUUGUUGGAUCACCAUUCAGAUAUAAUUAUGACUCUUCGAAGUCAGAAAAACUGUCAAUUUAUUUUGGGGCCGAUGUUAUUGUGGCAUCAAUACAACUUCAUUCCACUUGAUCCGGCACGACACAAGUCAAUAACCUCUCGCUUUGAUUUCUUCAUCAUGAAUGCCUAUAUGCAUUUUAAUGACCUUUAUUGUUCGUGUCGAGUGAAUAAGAACUACAGCAGUUUCUCAAUGUCGACCUCACUUGAGAUCCUUUUGUUUUAUUAUGAGAAGAUCAAGAGCUUUGAUAUGAUGAAGUGCAUAGUAUAUUUGAAAUAUGUAGUAAUUUUGUAUAAAGUAUUCCUAAUUUAUAUAACUUUUGUUCAAGUCCUAUCUAGAUCAAAAUCAUAA